CCGAAGCAGCCGGCUUGGCCAGCGGCGAACGGCGUCCAGGCGCUGCCAGACCCUUAACGGGCGGCUCCUAAUGCUUCCCAAAUCUGCUGACUGUCAGUAUGUUCUCACCGGAGCAGCAUGGGUAACCGGUGCUUUCAGCAAGGUCACCAGUGUUGCAGGAUGAAGAGGAUUUUGCAGAAGCACUAACAUCGAUCAACACAUGAUGGGGAAACAUCCCACUCGGUUCGUACAAGCUAUUCUGGGUAACUUGAUCUACACCUUAUUCUAAUGAUGAUGUUUCAUGGUUUAUAUGUAAUUUGCAGCAUUGUAGGCCUAAUAUGUGUUUCAUUUUUUGGUCAGGAACAAUUCAUUUACUCAUUUUGCUAUUAUGUCUGUCAUAUUAUGCAUUUGCUUGCUUUUGUUUGUCACUAUUUACCAAUGCUGAAUAAUUACAGUUGUUUUUCUGGUGUCCAACUUUAGUAUAGUUUUCUGUUAACUUGGUAUAAGCAAAUAUGUUUUGUUGGUUGACAAGCACUAUAAUGUCAAAUGUUAGGAACAAGAAUCUCAUGGAUAAAUGUUUGCAUUCCUGGCACUAAUGUGUCUGUUCACAUAUUCUCCCCACCAUUUUAGAUUCAUUACACAAGUCUUAGACGUGCACUUGAUGUCACUUCUGUUAUGUAGGGGGAGGUUGUGGAACAAAUUCUGUUGGUGGUACUAGCUACUUGACUUUGUUUUAUUUCUAAAACAGUGACACCUUUCUCCUUUGAUGUUUUGGUUAUUUUGUACUUGACACAUUUUUUGGAUUCUUAUGUGCUUUAUUGCAGUUACUCUUCCCACACGUAGUCAUGGAAGGCUACAAGAUUUUAAUGUGCAUUUUGUAUAUAUUCAACCAAACAUUGUACUCACAUUAUGUGUGUACAUAUUCCGUUUUCCCUGCAUGGUACCAUGCCCUUAUCAAAUUGGUUUUCUGAAUAAUGUAGUAAUCUACAUUGAGGAAACACAUGCAUAUUUUUUUGCUCUAUUUUAUCAUAUC
rnacentral:lncRNA from 1 species